rnacentral:rRNA from 1 species
CCCAGACUCCUACGGGAGGCAGCAGUGGGGAAUAUUGGGCAAUGGGCGCAAGCCUGACCCAGCAACGCCGCGUGAAGGAAGAAGGCUUUCGGGUUGUAAACUUCUUUUCUCAGGGACGAAGAAAGUGACGGUACCUGAGGAAUAAGCCACGGCUAACUACGUGCCAGCAGCCGCGGUAAUACGUAGGUGGCAAGCGUUAUCCGGAUUUACUGGGUGUAAAGGGCGUGUAGGCGGGGAAGCAAGUCAGAUGUGAAAGCCACGGGCUCAACCUGUGGCCUGCAUUUGAAACUGUUUUUCUUGAGUACUGGAGAGGCAGACGGAAUUCCUAGUGUAGCGGUGAAAUGCGUAGAUAUUAGGAGGAACACCAGUGGCGAAGGCGGUCUGCUGGACAGCAACUGACGCUGAGGCGCGAAAGCGUGGGGAGCAAACAGGAUUAGAUACCCUGGUAA